GAAAGCAUUUGCCAAGGACGUUUUCAUUAAUCAAGAACGAAAGUUAGGGGAUCGAAGAUGAUCAGAUACCGUCGUAGUCUUAACCAUAAACUAUGCCGACUAGGGAUCGGGUGUUGUCCUUUUUUUGGCGCACUCGGCACCUUACGAGAAAUCAAAGUUUUUGGGUUCUGGGGGGAGUAUGGUCGCAAGGCUGAAACUUAAAGGAAUUGACGGAAGGGCACCACCAGGAGUGGAGCCUGCGGCUUAAUUUGACUCAACACGGGGAAACUCACCAGGUCCAGACACAAUAAGGAUUGACAGAUUGAGAGCUCUUUCUUGAUUUUGUGGGUGGUGGUGCAUGGCCGUUCUUAGUUGGUGGAGUGAUUUGUCUGCUUAAUUGCGAUAACGAACGAGACCUUAACCUACUAAAUAGUUCUGCUAGCAUUUGCUGGUACGAUACUUCUUAGAGGGACUACCGAUUUCAAGUCGGUGGAAGUUUGAGGCAAUAACAGGUCUGUGAUGCCCUUAGACGUUCUGGGCCGCACGCGCGCUACACUGACGGAGCCAGCGAGUAUUAACCUUGGCCGAGAGGUCCGGGAAAUCUUGUGAAACUCCGUCGUGCUGGGGAUAGAGCAUUGUAAUUAUUGCUCUUCAACGAGGAAUUCCUAG
rnacentral:rRNA from 2 species